UUGUUUAAUAGGAUUCGCAAU
rnacentral:piRNA from 1 species